AUUGAACGCUGGCGGCAGGCCUAACACAUGCAAGUCGAGCGGAUGAAGGGAGCUUGCUCCUGGAUUCAGCGGCGGACGGGUGAGUAAUGCCUAGGAAUCUGCCUGGCAGUGGGGGAUAACGUCCGGAAACGGGCGCUAAUACCGCAUACGUCCUGAGGGAGAAAGUGGGGGAUCUUCGGACCUCACGCUAUCAGAUGAGCCUAGGUCGGAUUAGCUAGUUGGUGGGGUAAAGGCCUACCAAGGCGACGAUCCGUAACUGGUCUGAGAGGAUGAUCAGUCACACUGGAACUGGAACACGGUCCAGACUCCUACGGGAGGCAGCAGUGGGGAAUAUUGGACAAUGGGCGAAAGCCUGAUCCAGCCAUGCCGCGUGUGUGAAGAAGGUCUUCGGAUUGUAAAGCACUUUAAGUUGGGAGGAAGGGCAGUAAGUUAAUACCUUGCUGUUUUGACGUUACCAACAGAAUAAGCACCGGCUAACUUCGUG
rnacentral:rRNA from 1 species